rnacentral:misc_RNA from 1 species
UUUUCAUGUCGAGAAAAGUUUGCAGAUAGUGCUAGGAGAAACGAACCACUGAUUUGUUCAUUCUGGCUGCUGAACUACUGGGAGCAGGUGCAUUUCUAAGCGGUUUUUUCGAAUAGAUUAUUGAAGCAAGCAAAUAUGAACAGUGGAGAUUAUCCUGAUCAUCACGCCACUCCGAUCCUGGCUCGUCAGAUUGAAGAAGACCCCGAAAUACAGGAGAUGCUGUCAUCAACUGAGAGUUAUCAAUCCAACGCGACGUCGUCCGGUAGCAGUCCUAGACACGUGCCAGCUCACCAGCCAGUAGCCGCAGUUGCGGCUCAACCGCAAGCCGGCGCUCAACCGCAAGCCGACGCACAACCGCAAGCCGACGCACAACCGCAAGCCGAUGCACAACCGCAAGCCGCAGCCGCAGCAGAUGGAGCUUUGGUAGCUGAAACCGAGCAAAUGAGAUUGGAUUUUUUCCACAAACUCUACCACGACCUGCCUAUCGUUUCGUCACCGCUUGAUUUGACACGCAAAAUCUACAAUAGUGUCAGGCGUUCGAACUGUAUCUCAAAUCGCAUGCUCAAAGCAGCUGAGAAAACAGCGGGUUGUGUGAUGAACUCAACAAAUCCAAUAGUCAGCAUUAUCAGGGGGCCUCUGCUAAAAAUCGAUUACAUGCUUUGCUCAACACUUGAUUUUGUGGAAGAAAAAGUUCCUGCCAUCAAAUUGACACCAUCUGAGAUAUUAGUGAAUACGAAAUCGUUGAUCUACUAUGUGUGCACAGGACGGUGUGCAUUGGAUUGCGUGUGUGCAACAGGAGGGUACAGUCUGCAGACCGCCAACAGGCUGUUGCAUGUGAUGCGAUGCAGGCCGCUCGAAGCGUCAUUUGAGAGCGGUGUAAGAUCAAUUGUCGAUAAUUUAAGUGAUCCAACCUCUCCCUACUAUCAGCCAAUUGUACCUUUAUUGCCUGACUACAGACAAAAUAGCUAAGCUGUCUAUGCUGAAUAAUUUGAAAUUGAAUUGGCUACUCCUGCCUCUUAUAGAGCAACGUCGAUCCUGAGCUGUGAUCACUUGAUUGAGUGGGGAACUUCCCUAGCAGCUAGCAGCUAGCUUCAAAAUUCCCAAUAUUGUAGAUUGUAUUUAUAUCGCCUAGAAGUAGCUUGAAGCUUCAAAAGUAUAGUUAUAAUUAUAUUAAUUCAAUAUUAUUUUAUAAUGGAGUAAUCGUGAUUGAGUGUGAGUGUGAUUCCUGAUACUUUUGUGAAAUUUGUUGAAAUCAAUGUAAGAGACUAUAUUUUAAGUGCCAUGUUGUCAUUGUAAAUGUCAUAGGCUGCUCUAUUUUAUCCAAUUAACACCUUUAUUAUAAUUAUCUAGGCUUUUGAUUUUUCUAUUGUUUUUCUGUAAAUUCGAGGCCCAACUGACAUCUAACAUUCUCUCAGUUACAUAUCGUAGAAGAGUUCAAAGCUCUUGCUGAUUUCACUAUCUUGUAUUCAACCUCCAGUUUUCCCAAAAACGGUUUGUGGGUUCGACUUCUAUGGAGAUAUUAUACCUGUGUUAAUAAUGUUAUCAAUAUAUUAAUGUUAUAUAGAUGUUAUCCAACGAGGAAUUGAAUAUUAUAUAUUUGAUGUUUUUCCAUUCGUAGUCUGGAAUGUGAAAUUUCAAUUGGAAUGCUUUUAGCGUAAAUAUACUUGAUUCAAAAAUGUUUGAAUUAUAUUUUUUAUAAAUAAACAUUGUCUCAAAUUA